CAACAAUGGCUGAUGCACGACAGAGUCUUGAGACAGGCUGAAUUAGAAACUUGAUUUUGACCUAGCAAAGCACUCCUCUGUUGGGUCGGGCAUUGAAAGGAUGGUUGGAAAUAGGACACAGCUCUGUAUCUAUCCAGGGAUUGGUGUAUUUGGAAAUAAGGUGUUGCCAAGCAACCAUUCAAAAAAGGAGCCUCUUUGUCCACACUGCCCGGAAUUUGAGCAGAUGUCCAGAAAAACAAGGCCAGAUCCUUUUGCAGAUUCUCUUGGAAUCCUAAAAAGUCAAGAACUGUGAAGAGUCUGAGACUUUACUCCACUGCCAAGCUAGCAAGUUACCUGCCACAGUUUCAUGGAUGCUGAUAGAAGACAUGAGACACCUGGACCAGAGACAACGGACUUCACUACUUACAACGUAGCAGGGAGGGAAGUCAGCCAUGUUGUGAGCAACCUUUGGAGAGGCUCAUGUGGUGAGAUGCAGAAGCCAUCAACCAGGGCCACAGGAGUGAGCUUGGAAGCAACUCCUCUCCCCUCAUCAAGCCCUCAGAUGACUACAGCCCUGGUCAACAUCUUUGAGUUCAAUCUUAUGAAGGUAUCUUGAACCAGAACUGUCUACCUAAGUUGUUUCCAGAUCCAUGAUCCACAAAGACUUUGUGACAGAAAUAAAUGUUA